AUUACACCAAUCAUAGAGGAUGGCUCUUCUGGAGGGUACCUGAUUAGUGAUUUUCAUGGUUAAUAUUUUACUGCAGCAUAGCUUUGCAUUACCUUGGCCUAUACAUGUGCCAUUUCUAAUUGUUUGUAUAUAACAGUCCAGAGUUUUGUUUUUGGAAAGCCUGUGAAACUAAAAACAAGCUCAGAGGAAAGAGUACAUGAUCAGUUUGGUGUCUACAUUGAACAAGAGGGAAGAGUGUCCUCCAUGUAUCUGCCGACUGUGAGAUCCUGGCCUAGUGCUAUCCUAUAUAACUUCUGAACCAUCAUGUAUCAGAAGAUAACAUUAAGGGAGAUAUCUUCAUAUCUGAAUUGUGAGACUUGAAAAAUCCUGCCUAAGAGUAGCUGGGAAAUCUGGAGGUACUAAGAAACACUGUAUCUAUCUAUACUUGGGGGUUGAAGGGCAGCCCUACCA
rnacentral:lncRNA from 1 species